CCUCAGUAUUCAUCUAGUAUCCACGCGGUGAGCAACCCUAUCCGGUAUUUCGCCGUAGAAACUGAGCGUGCUCUCGCGGUUCCAUUGAUGAUCUUCGGUGAAGGUCCCGUCUUCGUUCGGAUAUAUACAGUUUAGUGUACGUCCUUGUGCAAAAUUAAAUCAUAUCGAUUAAAAUCGUCUUGAGGAGAAUUGAUCGAAGGUGUUGCAUGAGAGCCGGCAUAAGGCGACUAACAGAUUGAUACUCGCGCAUCCAUCGCGAGCUAGACGAAGAAACGGAAGUCAAGGAUACCAAAGGAUACGAAAGUCGAAGUGGAAGGAAAUAUACCUGGCGGGUGAGAACGCGCUUGCGUGAGGAUCCGCGUGUAUAUGUGUGUAAUGGUGGAGAAAGUUGUACGCGCACGAUGCAGCUGAUGACCUUGAACUCCCUGUUAAUGUUCGACAUCGUGUUCCUGUUCUUCCUGUUCCUCGUCGGCGUCUCCUGCCUCGUGUAUUACCUGCCCGCCACUCGAGCGCAUGAUUUCGCACCGCACGAAAUCAUCACGGCUAGAACGUCGCCGCGUUACGACUCGCCAAUCGACAAUGUUUAAGGAUGCAAACGGACUUGAACGGAGGACCUGGUCUCGCUGUAGUAGCGGGAGAUGUACUUGCUCUGCGAGGAACAGGACUUGCCGCUGCCGAAACAUGGGCUCUCCUAUGCCAGGCAGCCCAGGCCCUCCAAGAUCUUUUUCUUUCAAGUAAGUUCUUAUUCUCAUUCGACAAAGUAUUCUUACUUUAAAAAUCCUCAACAUAAUAGUGAAAUAUAACAUUUCUGUAAUAUUCGUAAUGCUUACAAAUAUUUUUCGAAAAAUGCAGAUUAUUUUAUUCGGCUUGUG